AAUCAACGCUGGCGGCGUGCCUAACACAUGCAAGUCGAACGAGAAAGUGGAGCAAUCCAUGAGUAAAGUGGCGACCGGGUGAGUAACACGUGACUAACCUACCUUCCAGUGGGGGAUAACCUCGGGAAACCGGGGCGUAAUACCGCAUAAUAUCUUCGGGAUGAAAAGCCGAAGAUCAAAGGAGCAAUUCGCUGGAAGAGGGAGUCGCGGCUGAUUAGCUAGUUGGCGGGGUAAGGCCCACCAAGGCUUUGAUCGGUAGCCGGCCUGAGAGGGCGCACGGCCACACUGGAACUGAAACACGGUCCAGACUCCUACGGGAGGCAGCAGGUGGGGAAUUUUGCGCAAGUGGGGGAAACCCUGACGCAGCAACGCCGCGUGGAGGAUGAAGUCCCUUGGGACGGUAAACUCCUUUCGACCCGGACGAUAAUGACGGUACGGGUGGAAGAAGCCCCGGCUAACUUCGUGCCAGCAGCCGCUGU
rnacentral:rRNA from 1 species